AUUUUCUCCCUCCCCUCAAGCUCCAGCCCUUCACCUUCACCUGCCUUCUUUCCCCUCAACACUAACCGAGGAUUGAAGAAGAUAUUCCAGAAAAAGACAUUGGUACUACUGCCAUUGCUAAUACCAUUUUUUAUGAAUACAUUUUCGCUAUUUUAAUAAUAAUAAUAAUAAUGGAGACAUUUAAUCUUCUUAAGGCAAAGUAAAAGAGGCCAUAAAAGGCAUUGCCUUUCUUCUUUCUUUUCUCUGGUCCUUUUUAUACUGCAACUCUAGGCCAAUUUGGUUCAGCCGAUCUCAGCCUCUGAUAUAUCACCAGAAGAGUACAGUGUUUGAUUGGCUGGAGAAAGGAUCAGCACAGAAAAAAAAAAUCAGAGCAGGAUUGAUAUCCAUGAAGCAACACAAGAAGAAAGGUAAACCGAAAAAGAGUUUCUUCAACCAUUAGUCUUGAACAAUAAUAUCACACCCACUUAAAGUGAUUUAUUGAGAGAAGGCUCUAUUCUUUUUAAGGGUUUAUCACCUUCUAUAUAGUAGACUUGUAGUACUACUAAGACAGCCGUUGGCAUAUACUCCUUAAAUAUAAAUACAGGCCCAUAUAUUCAAUCAUAAAAGUUCUGUAACUAUCUACUGCAAAGGCACCACAUCUGGCAUCAAGGAACCUAAUUGCUCCUGUUAGGAAAUUGGUUCAGGUUCGUAAUUUAUGCCUUUUCCCUUGUUUUCAUUCAUCCCCUUUCUAAUAAAUUGUCCUCGAAUUCGCGGUCUUUGCUCUGCCAGUUUUUUUCUACUCUGAUAUCUCACCUGAGAAAGUAACAAAAGCUUCAGGCAACCAAUAUGAAACUGUAAGGGAAACAGAUCAACUAUGUAUUUUUCAGGGAAACCAAAAACAUAUUUUCAUACUAAUAGGAUCCCAAAGAUGAUGGAUUGAAUGCGUAGUGUUGUAAAUGAAAUUUCCUCCUUUAGACUCCUAUGUCUGUGUGUUUGAUUUGAUUUAAAUAUCAAAUGUUUCUAUGUCAAUUAUCAAUUUUUUCCAUGAUCUACUUCUUAGAGAAAAUAAGGGGAUGAUUUGGUACAUAUCUGGUUCUACUAAACAUUAAGAAAAUGUUCUGAUUACCUUUUUCUCAAAGCACCUUUCUUGCCUCUUCUGGCGGAAUCUUUUUAGAGCAGCUUCUCUUUGUGCAAAUCGAUUUACAUCCGAUUCACUUCCUUCAAUGGUUUUCCCUCUUCCAGUAACCACACUAUCACUUUCUGUCUUUUUCCCUCUGGAGUUUGAAGCAGUGGUGCUUCUCUUUUGUCCAUUGCUACCAUGGUUACUUCCUGAGCCACUCCUGUUGAGACUCUGAUUACUAAUAUUGCCUUCCAUGGGUGCUCUCAACACAUUGGAUGAACCACACUGGGAGGCAUCUGCUGCCAUAAUUUUUAAAACAACUCAACACCGAUGAAUAGCUGUUAUGAAGUGGCAUGUUAUGCAUUUGACGGUGAUUGUUUAAACUAAUCAACCUUCUGGCUGAAGGGAAGUUUGGCCAUUGUGUACUUGUUGGAAACCAGAGCAAGAUUGGAGUUUGAUUGUGGAUUUGGUUGUAGGCCUCUCUGCAAAAGCCACUUGUUUGGUAAAAGCGUUAUUCGUAGUGGAUCCCAUGUCGUUAUUGUUACUACUACCAUUGGAACCCUGGUUGGGAGGUGUGCCAUUUGAAUCAGAUUGCAAAUUUGGUGUUGAUUCUGUUUUCGCUGCGUCUGAGCUAUUAUCAAGAGGAGAACAACUGCCUAUGUUCCCCGUUGGAGCCUGAUUUGCAGUUGAAGCAGAAUUAUACCUGCAUGGCAACCUUGGAGAGUUCGUUUGGGAUGUCAAGAAUUCCACUUUCCAUGUGAGGAUCAAUACUAUUAGUGGAGACACCCAUUAGAUCAACAGCUUGGGUCUUUUCUGCAUUUGGUUCUUCAUUGUUGAGGUCUAGUUCUCCUUUCUCCAGUUCCUGAUCAUCUUUCUUUGAGUUAAGUUCAGAACAUUUGUCUUUAUUAGUGCCUUCCAUGUUGGUCUGCCCUUUUUCACCUGUGUCUUCAAGAAGUGAAUUCGGAAGGCUUGGUAAUCCGAUCUUCAAGUCUUUUCCCAUGACUUUUUUGUCUAAACAAUUUAAAGAAAUACCUUAGACAAUGAGGGAGAAUGGAGGAAAGUACAAAAAGAUGUUAGGAAAAGAUGCCUACCUAGCUCAUCAUUAAGUGGACGAGGUGCUAUUGUUGCAUUUUCUGGUACCCAGUUGUUGCCAAAUGCUUCUUGCCUUGGAUGAUUGACCUGUUGAUUAGUGCUAUCAGGAAGGUCAGCAAACUGCUCCCAUGACACUGCUUGAGGGCUGUCAACAUCUGCUCUCUUUGUCCAAGAGCUCUGCAAAAGCUCAACAGAAUGUCCUUGCAAGAUUUUGCGCUCAUGAUCUUGCCUAGAAGACCAAUACCAGAUAAACAGGGCAUGACCACCUCAGUCAAAACGAGAUCAACAUCUGUCACAAGAUCUUCUAAGACUUUCCAAGCUUGUCUACCAUUUUCUACUGCUGUUACUGCCAAUGAGAAUAAAUUGAAUAAUUGUUAGUUUAUUGAGGGAAACAACAAAAUUCUAUUCUUGACUUUUAGGAUGUAAAAUAAAUCAAAUCUUUUAACUAACAUUUAUGUAGUAAUUUACUAAGCAGUUUGCAUUUGAAGUAAAAACGAUCAACUAUGAUAAUUAAAUAAAAUCACAAUAUUCAAAGAGUUUAUCAUAACAUGAACACAAGUAUGAAAAUUGAUAACAAAGAAAGCAUCACAAGAAAUAUUUAUUGAACUGAAAGUCCAUUUAUCAUAGCUAGAAAAUAAGAUGUCAACAAGUCUGGACCAAUAUGUUUUUUCUUUUGGACAAUAUCAUACUUAAACUUAGCACUGAGGAGGUACAAAAACUCAAAAUUAAGACCAUCCUCAUCAUAUUCCAAUUUCUAACAAAGUUAUCUUUAGAAGGUACACAUAAACUUACCCUAUAAACAUAUGAACUAAGUAACCCACCAGAGUCUUGAUCUACUUUCCAUAGAAACCUAAUCGUGGUUGGAUCAUAAGGUUAUAGCUACAAGUAUCCUCAAGAAUGGUUCUUGGUCAAAAUCUAAACUAGCUUAAGAAAUCGUGCUAGACCCUUCUUCAACACUACCACAUGUGGAAUAAGUGACCUUUUGAUAUAAAAUUAAGGUAGUUCUUUAGAAGGUUUUGCCUCUUAUUUUAGGCAAUGAAAUAUGAAAAAGGGAGGUUAUAGCUUUUCAAAUAGAAUUCAGAAACUGUUUUCUAGAGGAGUUUAAUGGAGCAGAGGUGAUAAAUCCAAUCGUUACGGAUAAACAAAAAGGGCUAAUUAGAGAGUACAUGAUAACUUUGAACUGUAUCUCUGAAUAUAUAUUCGAGACUUUAGUUUCUGUGCCAUGUAAGCUAUACAAAAAUUUUAAUUAACCCAAAGUUUCUUCUGAGCCCUGUGUGUGUUAACUAAAAAACAAUUUCAGAAGCUAUCAGCAACAGAUUGUGGGUCAUUUAUUCUAUUGAUCAAAUCCCUUUCCUUACCCCAUCCAUUAUGAAAAUGAAUAUGUAUGAAAUGAAUUAUGUAUAGAGGUAUAGUACAUAUAUUUUAAAGAUUGCAUGUUCUCCAGCACUUUCCCAGAGCUAUCAGGCACUGUGCAGUGAAGAUAUUGCAUAAAGUUAGCCAUUAGUAUGCUCAUUCUUUCCAGUACCAAAACUGAAGUUUCAUGAAUGAAAAGACUACCAACUUCCCAUUAGACUAUAACUAUGAACAAAGAACAGCACAAAUAAAUACUUGAAGCACCAGAGUAUAGGUAAUAUUAGGGACUGCUGUGAAAAUGUAGUGCUUUUUUUUCCAGCCAAACAGACAAUAAAAAAAGAAAAGAAAACUAAAUGGAAGAAAAUCUAGCUUACUAGUUUCCAAUAUUCUUAAUAGAAACUCAGAAAAAGAGCACUGCCACAAUAUCAGGAGAUCAGUCUAGAAAUGUGUAAUUAGUAGAUGGUGGUAAAUAACAUUUUAGAAAUAAAUAGAUGGCUAGACAACUCUACUUAUAUUAAACUAAAAAAAAGACAGUUCUUUUACAAUAAUAGUAUUGCUAUGCUCCUCUUUCUAACCUAUGUUAAUGACAACAAUUAUUAGAUCAUAUAUAUUAUUACACGUAGUGGACCAAAUACACAUGGUUUCCUUUCAUAUCAUAUAACAUGAAGUUUAAUCAUAAGACCUACAGUUUUUACUUCAAAAGUCAACUAUGUCAAUAUUCAAACAUCAGGCCACUAACAUAGAGAACUACAUAUACUUCAGAAUCAGAGAACUACAUGAUCACUUCAUGUUGCUGAAAUGUACUGACCUUCGUAGCCACAAUUUCGUAGUAGGGCACUGACAAUAUGGCGAGUUGAGUCGUCAUUUUCCACCAAUAAAACCUUUAGAGACCUGAAAGCUAGGAACCUCUCCCAGCGAACCAAAUGCCCUUGAGGCUGUUGCUGAGACCUCCGCUGGCCAGAAUGGCUCUGCUCCAGGACCUGUACUGUUCCAAUCUCCCCAUUGCUAACAUGUUGCGUAUCCUCAUUAAUCCUAGAUUCAUGUUCCUCUGAAAGCCCUUGGCAUUCUCUCGUAACCCUGUCCCUUCUUUCCUUUUUCCCAUCUUGAAUACGGUGAUUCAGCUCGGCUAGCUCAUCAUUGGUUACGGGAGCUUUAUUAUUCAUCUGAACCAUUUUCAUCAACCAGAUUCAAUAAGAUCAAUGAUGAGAAGGGUAAUGGAUAGAGCUGGUGAGAAGGCUAAUCCACAAGAGUUCUUGCACAUCCCAUUGUGACAAAAAUACAGGCUCAAAGAAAAGAGAACCCCUUCACAGGUCCUGUACAAAAGACAAAUAUAUUUCUAUAAAAAAUCAAUAAGAAUAAAGAUAAUAUAUAUGUUCGGAUGAAACUCCAUAGGCAAUAGCAUAAAAUGAGCAAAAGUUAAAUUAGACAGAACAAAUAACAGAGAAAUAAAUUGUUAUGAGCGUGAUCUUUUCUAUUCCAAUAUCUCUACUGCUUUCCUGCUAUGAAUCUAGAUUGCAAUAGAAAGUUUACAACAGGUGAAACGGAUAAAUUUGACCGUAGCAGUUUUAGAUGCAUAUAACAGUAUAAUUAAAACCUAGCUUGUUAAAUAAGAAUAAAAGAAGUCUUAAACAUAAAGUUCAAAGAAAACUCUCUCUUGAUAAAAAGAUAAUAACAGCAUCAUGAAACUGAGCAUAUACCAUACUCAUGAAUCUUCAAACAGUUAACAAGUGUAUACAACUUUAAUCAUACAUAUUCAACUCAAUUGAAACUAAUAGGGUUUGCUAAUAUGAUGAGAAAUAGGUUCUUUGGUAGAAUUCAGAACACAUAAUUUCAAAGGUCAUUUUCCUUUUCAUUUCUCACAAUUUGAAAUGAAGACGUAAAAAAAAAUUCAAUUAACCAAGAUAAUCCUAUAAAUUAAUUUUUAUGUAUAUUUAUAAAAUACAUGCAAACAGUCUAGGGUGGGAUGAGAAGGAAAACCAAAUAAUUCAGUGAAAUUACAAAUAUACUACAUAUAUAUUUUCAAUUUUCCGUGAAUGAGUGAGUUGUACUCGGAAAAACUAAACUCUGAAUCAAACAAUCCAAUACUCUCUCAUUAUAAGAUGUUUCUCGUGUAUUCCUUACAAAUUUUCGUAGCAGCCAAACAAAAGAAGAAGAAACUAAAAGGAAAAAAAAAAUCAACAUUGAGCAACAAGUUGCUACUUUAUACAAAGUGAGAAUACCUCUCUCUCAAAACUUCAUUCGAACUUGGAUGAUAAUCGGCAAUGGUGGAAUAAAGUUCAAAAGUUAGAAACCAGAGGUUUUUUUUUGCCUAAGAGAUUUAAAUUUUUUUUAAAAUAUUUUUUUUUCUGAAGACUUGAGAAAUCUCAGUAAGUUUUGUAACAUUUUUUUUUCAAAUUAUAUUUAUAAAAAAAAUGAAAAGAAAAAUUAUUGGUAGAGAAAGAAGGAAGGUUGGAAAGGUGAAUGAAGCGAUGGAUAUAUGAUAUAUCAAAGAAAGAUAUUAGAAUUGUCCCUACAAAGUUCUAAAUGGGAGCGAAUAAAGGUUGCCACGUCGGACGACACGUAGGAGGAAAAUGUUCUAGUGCGCUCUAAUAUCUAUAGCUGGGCUGUGAAUUGUUUACCGCGGAUCCAGAAGCGAUCCAGUAGAUCCGCUUAUCGACACGUGGCCUUCUCUCUGAUGAGUAAAAGGUUUCCCAAAGGAAGUGGCUGCAAAUUCUUUCUAUUUUCGAAGCCAAAGUUCUUUUUAUUGGGACUUUCGCUUUUCCAUCCACAACCACAGCAACUACUUUUGUUCUUCCAUACCCAUUAGUAAUAAUAUAAUUUCCUCACCAUUAAAUUUAGAUCAUGGAUUGGUAAAAAAAAAAAAGCCUCAAUAAAUUAUGUCUUUUUUAAGGAAAUUAUCCUUUACAUUUUAAAUGUAUGACAUGUGGCUUUUUAUUUAAAUAUUCUAUAUUAGUAAUA